CCUACGGGGGGCUGCAGUCGAGAAUCUUCGGCAAUGGGCGCAAGCCUGACCGAGCGACGCCGCGUGUGGGAUGAAGGCCUUCGGGUUGUAAACCACUGUUAGAGGGGAUGAAAUGCAGGUGGGUUCUCCCAUCUGUUUGACAUAGCCUCAGAGGAAGGACGGGCUAUGUUCGUGCCAGCAGCCGCGGUAAGACGAACCGUCCAAACGAUAUUCGGUAACACUGGGCUAGGCGGGUGCGUAGGCGGGGUGGGAAAUACCUCGGCUCAACCGAGGAACUGCGCCCAAAACUGCCGUGCUCGAGGAAGAUAGAGGUGAGCGGAACUUAGGGUGGAGCGGUGAAAUGCGUUGAUAUCCUAAGGAACACCGGUGGCGAAAGCGGCUCACUGGAUCUUUUCUGACGCUGAGGCACGAAAGCUAGGGUAGCGAACGGGAUUAGAUACCCUAGUAGUC
rnacentral:rRNA from 1 species